AUACGGAGGAUGCGAGCGUUGUCCGGAUUUAUUGGGUUUAAAGGGUGCGUAGGUGGUAAUUUAAGUCAGCGGUGAAAGUUUGUGGCUCAACCAUAAAAUUGCCGUUGAAACUGGGUUACUUGAGUGUGUUUGAGGUAGGCGGAAUGCGUGGUGUAGCGGUGAAAUGCAUAGAUAUCACGCAGAACUCCAAUUGCGAAGGCAGCUUACUAAACCAUAACUGACACUGAAGCACGAAAGCGUGGGUAUCAAACAGGAUUAGAUACCCUGGUAGUCCACGCAGUAAACGAUGAUUACUAGGAGUUUGCGAUACACGGUAAGCUCUACAGCGAAAGCGUUAAGUAAUCCACCUGGGGAGUACGCCGGCAACGGUGAAACUCAAAUGAAUUGGCGGGG
rnacentral:rRNA from 1 species